CAUAAACAAUUAGAAAAAAGAUGUAAUGCAAUAUAAAACCACACAUAAUGUGUAAUCAAUUUAUAUCAAAAUUUAAAAAAUAGUGUAGAUUCAUAUAGUCACAGUAAUGACAAUCAUUCAUUCACCUGAUAAUUCAUUAAUAUCUUUUAUCUGCAAGGCACUAGUCUAGACGUUGGGAUGCAAUGAUACCAAAAGCCCUGCUCUUGGGAGGCUUAGAGACAGAAUGGACGAGGUGAACACAGAGAGACUGAGUAGUUGUCCCGCAGCUGCGGAAGAGAGCAAAGUGGUGAAAGAGGCACAAAGAAGCAGCAACAAGGGACAAGAAGGAAGAGAAAGGUUAGAGGAGAGCAGGAAGUUAGACAGUAGGGGAUAGUGAAGCUUAACUGCAGGGAUAGGAGGAGGAAAGGUGAACUGGGAGACUUAAUGAAGGGUCUGUUCAAAAGUUAAGUUGGAGCUUUUGAAUGUAAUAUGCUAAGUAGCAAGGAAAGUUAAUAGCAUCUUUGUUUUGCACCUGAUUUUUUUUUUUAUUAGUAGAACCUUAUGAGUGCCACACCAAGAACAUUUUUAAAUACUAGUCUAUAAUUCUGCCACUUAAUAACUUUUCAUUUUGUUGUGCCCCGUCUUUACCAUACAUAUUUCUAAAUCAAUGAAUCAUCCUAGGUUCUGUAAUGGGUAGUAAUUUGUUCAAAAGGGGUUUUGGGCAGACAUUAGCUGCAGGAUGCACCAUGAUUAUAGGUGGGAGAGAUUAGAGAUAAAUGCCUCGUGGAAAGGCAGCUGUAGACUAUAAUAAUCUAGGCUCCCAAGGAUCGUAGAGUUCACAGGGAGAGCGGCCAGGCUGUAGAGAAGAAACAGAUCCCGGAGCACUCUGAAUCUCUGUAGAGGAAGUGCCCCCAUACCUGGGAAAUGGCUUCCAAAGAACAAGAGACUCAACCAACACCCCUGUUCCACAGCCACAAAGAACUUGAGCUUUCUGGUGGUGAACUGGACAUGGAAGUUGUUUUUACCAACAGGAGAAGAGGAAGAGUAACAGUUAUAAAGGGAAUUGACAGCAAGUUGGCUCAUCGGUUGCCAGGGAAACCAGCAGAGGUGUUUGUUGCUGAGUACGGGCUUUCUCUAGUUGCGGUGACGGGGCUUCUCAUCGCAGUGGCUUCUCUUGUGGAGAAAGGGCUUUUGGCACCAGGGCUUUAUGGGAUUAGUUGCUCCACGGCAUGUGGAAUCUUCCUGGACCAGCGAUCAAACCCGUGUCCCCUGAAUUAUCAGGUGAAUUCUUAACCACUGAACCACCAGGGAAGUCCCAAGAAUGUUCCAUCUUUCAGUUCUGUUUGAUGUAAACAGUUGCACCUACAACAAGAUACUAACAGUCAGGUACCAAGAGGAAUUUUGAAAGAUACUCUAUAUAAAUAUAGGAAUUGCCCAAGCAAGCACUAAAACCUAUAGGCAAC
ensembl:lncRNA